UCAGGAAGAAUGGGAUCCUCCUGGGGUAAUGCUUAAGCAUAAGAUGUGAAGACUUACUUAAAUUUAUUUGACUCCAGUUCUUUCAAGUCUUCUAACUAGUACUGCUUCCUUUGGGACUGUGGGUGACUUGCCUCUGACUUUAAUGAUGCUUGUAAAGCCUAAUCAACGUUACUCACCAGAGGAUUUCAGUCUCAUCUUUUACCUUCCAUGUUCCGUACCCAGGAUUCUACUUGUUAUUUUAAGGGAGCAGUAAUAUAUACAGCAUCUGUAUACACAGAGUGCAAUAUAUACUCCCUGAAGUCCAGUGGAUUGUCUUUGUGGAGGGAUGAAUAUAUGACUGUAAGAAACUCUUCAGAGUUCAUCCAGAAUACAAAGCUGCUCAUUACUUUCUAGCCUGGAUUCAGUCAAGAGGUACCAUGUGCUAUAAAGAAAAGAUUGAACUACUCUGAAAUGCAAAAGGAGCAUUUUCCUGGCUGUGGUUUUGACACAUGACGUGGGAACUCCCAACCUCUAUCUCCUUCAAACGCCGGCUCCAGGAGAACGAGCCUCUGGGAAGCGAAGUGUCCCCCCGGCCUUGCCCACGGAGCAGGGACCAACCUCCAGCCGGGGAGCUCCGUGUGCUGGGAGCGGCUCGGCAAAGCCCAGUCCGUCAGUCUGUCCGAUCACGGCUCCGCAGGCGGGCAGUGCACCCGGAGGCGGGGG